rnacentral:misc_RNA from 1 species
GAAACAUCAGAGCACCUAAAGUCGACUGAAACAAGUGGCUCAUCACAGACGGAGAGAAUGCCAGCAAGCUCGUUGUCAGCUGACUCCCUGAAUGCAGCAUUCACUUCCUCUGCAAAUGUCUUCUUUGAUACUUGAACGACAAGGUCCACGACCGAUACAUUGGGAGUGGGGACACGCAGGGCAAUGCCGUUGAGUUUACCCUUGAGGCUGGGAAGGACAAGAGCCACAGCUUUAGCUGCACCCGUUGAAGUUGGCACAAUGUUGAGAGCUGCAGCUCUUGCACGUCUAAGGUCCCUGUGGCUUGCAUCAAGCAGCCUUUGGUCACCAGUGUAGGAGUGUGUUGUUGUCAUGGUCCCUUUGAUUAUGCCGAAUUUUUGGUCAAGGACUUUGACAAAAGGAGCAAGACAGUUUGUGGUGCAAGAAGCAUUGCUGAUAAUGGACUCAUCAGGGCUGUAAAGGUCUGCAUUGACACCAACGACAUAGGUAGGAAUAUCACCCUUUCCGGGGGCAGUGAUGAGGACUUUCUUAGCUCCAGCUUGGAUAUGCUUGCCAGCACCCUCUCGAUCGACAAAAACUCCGGUACCUUCAAUGACCAAGUCA